AAGAUGUUAGAAAAAAUUAUUUCAUAGCUUUGUCAAAGCUAAAUUAUAGGUCAAAACCCUAUAUAUCUUA
rnacentral:tRNA from 1 species